UCUUCUGUGGUGCAGUUGGUAGCACCUUGGUUUAGUAAUUGAAAGUCUAAGGUUUAGAUCCCGGUUGGGGAA